rnacentral:rRNA from 1 species
UUUAUUCAGCGGCCGCGGUUACCCUGACCGUGCAAGGUAGCAUAAUACUUGCCUUAUAAUUGAAGGCUGGAAUGAAUGGUUUGACAAGAAUGUAGCUGUCUCAUUAUAAUUUAACAGAAUUUUAUUUUAGGAUGAAAAAGUCCUAGUUGAAUUAAAAGACAAGAAGACCCUAUCGAGCUUGAAGUUAAUUGAUAAAAAAUUAAUACUAUAAGAAUUGUUAUCCAAAAUUUUGGUUGGGGCAACUAAGGAGCAAAAAAAGCCUCUUUUUAAAUAUUAUACACACUAGUAAGGAUCCAAUAAUUUUGAUCAAAGAAAAUAGUUACCGUAGGGAUAACAGCAUUAUCUUUUUUGAGAGCCCUUAUCGAAAAAAAGGGUUGUGACCUCGAUGUUGGACCAGAAUAUCCUAAAGAUGCAGAAG